rnacentral:RNase_P_RNA from 1 species
CGCGUAGCAAGCCGAAAUCCGAGUUGAAACCGUCCACCGACUACAAGCAAUCGGUCAAAGACACUUUCAUUGACAACACGGAGUUGACGGCAUCCGCGCAAGCGGGCCGCGGGAAACGGGUGGGAUUUUGAAGGGGGCGGAGCUCCGCCUUUCUUUUCAAGAAUCCCCACCACAGCGGACGUGAUUUCGCAGAAAUCGCUUUCCACCCUUACCAUUACGGUUUUGCCGCAAUGGUAAGGGUGGAAAGGUGUGGUAAGAGCGCACCCGACGGCUCGAGAGUGUCCGUCGCUGUAAACUCUAUCCGGAGCAACACCGGUAUGGGAGCACACAGGCUGGCCCGGCCGCUCCCGGGGUGGCUGGAGCGCACUGGCAACAGCGCGCCUAGAUAGAUGGCUGUCAAAUACAGAACCCGGCUUACAGUUUUGCUCGCAAU